GAUGAACGCUGGCGGCGUGCUUAACACAUGCAAGUCGAACGAAGCACUUUAUUUGAUUUCCUUCGGGACUGAUUAUUUUGUGACUGAGUGGCGGACGGGUGAGUAACGUGUGGGUAACCUGCCUUGUACAGGGGGAUAACAGUUGGAAACGGCUGCUAAUACCGCAUAAGCGCACAGCAUCGCAUGAUGCAGUGUGAAAAACUCCGGAGGUAUAAGAUGGACCCGCGUUGGAUUAGCUAGUUGGUGAGGUAACGGCCCACCAAGGCGACGAUCCAUAGCCGACCUGAGAGGGUGACCGGCCACAUUGGGACUGAGACACGGCCCAAACUCCUACGGGAGGCAGCAGUGGGGAAUAUUGCACAGUGGGCGAAAGCCUGAUGCAGCGACGCCGCGUGAGCGAAGAAGUAUUUCGGAAUGUAAAGCUCUAUCAGCAGGGAAGAUAAUGACGGUACCUGACUAAGAAGCACCGGCUAAAUACGUGCCAGCAGCCGCGGUAAUACGUAUGGUGCAAGCGUUAUCCGGAUUUACUGGGUGUAAAGGGAGCGCAGGCGGUGCGGCAAGUCUGAUGUGAAAGCCCGGGGCUCAACCCCGGUACUGCAUUGGAAACUGUCGUACUAGAGUGUCGGAGGGGUAAGCGGAAUUCCUAGUGUAGCGGUGAAAUGCGUAGAUAUUAGGAGGAACACCAGUGGCGAAGGCGGCUUACUGGACGAUAACUGACGCUGAGGCUCGAAAGCGUGGGGAGCAAACAAAAUUAGAUACCCUGGUAGUCCCCGCCGUAAACGAAGAAUAAUAGGUGUUGGGAAGCAAUGUUUCUUGGUGCCCGUCGCAAACACAGUAAGUAUUCCACCUGGGGAGUACGUUCGCAAGAAUGAAACUCAAAGGAAUUGACGGGGACCCGCACAAGCGGUGGAGCAUGUGGUUUAAUUUGAAGCAACGCGAAGAACCUUACCAAGUCUUGACAUCCUUCUGACCGGUAGUUAACCGUACCUUCUCUUCGGGGCAGGAGUGACAGGUGGUGCAUGGUUGUCGUCAGCUCGUGUCGUGAGAUGUUGGGUUAAGUCCCGCAACGAGCGCAACCCUUAUCUUUAGUAGCCAGCGGUUCGGCCGGGCACUCUAGAGAGACUGCCAGGGAUAACCUGGAGGAAGGCGGGGAGGACGUCAAAUCAUCAUGCCCCUUAUGACUUGGGCUACACACGUGCUACAAUGGCGUAAACAAAGGGAAGCAAAGCUGUGAAGCCGAGCAAAUCUCAAAAAUAACGUCUCAGUUCGGACUGUAGUCUGCAACCCGACUACACGAAGCUGGAAUCGCUAGUAAUCGCAGAUCAGAAUGCUGCGGUGAAUACGUUCCCGGGUCUUGCACA
rnacentral:rRNA from 1 species